UUGUCCAGGGGGCCGCCUUCGCCACCGGUAUUCCUCCAGAUCUCUACGCAUUUCACCGCUACACCUGGAAUUCUACCCCCCUCUACAAGACUCUAGUCUGCCAGUUCGAAAUGCAGUUCCCAGGUUGAGCCCGGGGCUUUCACAUCUCGCUUAACAGACCGCCUGCGCACGCUUUACGCCCAGUAAUUCCGAUUAACGCUUGCACCCUCCGUAUUACCGCGGCUGCUGGCACGGAGUUAGCCGGUGCUUCUUCUGUGGGUAACGUCACAGCUGAUAGGUAUUAACCAUCAGCCUUUCCUCCCCACUGAAAGUGCUUUACAACCCGAAGGCCUUCUUCACACACGCGGCAUGGCUGGAUCAGGGUUUCCCCCAUUGUCCAAUAUUCCCCACUGCUGCCUCCCGUAGGAGUCUGGACCGUGUCUCAGUUCCAGUGUGGCUGUCCAUCCUCUCAGAACAGCUAGGGAUCGUCGCCUAGGUGAGCCUUUACCUCACCUACUAGCUAAUCCCACCUGGGCCUAUCCAUUCGCGAGAGGUCCGAAGAUCCCCCUCUUUCCCCCGUAGGGCGUAUGCGGUAUUAGCAGUCGUUUCCAACUGUUAUCCCCCUCGAAUGGGCAAGUUCCCAGGCAUUACUCACCCGUCCGCCGCUCGCCACCUCAGGAGUAAACUCCCUUGUGCUGCCGCUCGACUUGCAUGUGUUAGGCCUGCCGCC
rnacentral:rRNA from 1 species